GACGAACGCUGGCGGCGUGCUUAACACAUGCAAGUCGAACGGAAAGGCCCUGCUUUUGUGGGGUGCUCGAGUGGCGAACGGGUGAGUAACACGUGAGUAACCUGCCCUUGACUUUGGGAUAACUUCAGGAAACUGGGGCUAAUACCGGAUAGGAGCUCCUGCUGCAUGGUGGGGGUUGGAAAGUUUCGGCGGUUGGGGAUGGACUCGCGGCUUAUCAGCUUGUUGGUGGGGUAGUGGCUUACCAAGGCUUUGACGGGUAGCCGGCCUGAGAGGGUGACCGGGAGCAGUGGGAGAGAGAUACGGCAGGGACGACUCCGGGAGGAAGAACGGGGGAUGAGGGAACACGGGGUGGAGGUAUGACGAAGCAACGCCGUGUGGCGGAGGACGGGCUGCGGGGUGGAAAAAGCGUGCGCCGGUGAAGAAGCGGGAGGGAGGGGAAGGGGUAAAGGGGGAAGGGCUAACUACGUG
rnacentral:rRNA from 1 species